UACGAAGGGGGCUAGCGUUGUUCGGAAUUACUGGGCGUAAAGCGCACGUAGGCGGAUCGAUCAGUCAGGGGUGAAAUCCCAGGGCUCAACCCUGGAACUGCCUUUGAUACUGUCGAUCUGGAGUAUGGAAGAGGUGAGUGGAAUUCCGAGUGUAGAGGUGAAAUUCGUAGAUAUUCGGAGGAACACCAGUGGCGAAGGCGGCUGCCUGGCCCAAUACUGACACUCAGGUGCGACAGCGUGGGGAGCAAACAGG
rnacentral:rRNA from 1 species